CAAAAAAUUGAGGAAGACAUAAUUAGCAGCUGAAGAAUGACUCAGAUCAUCAGUAGUGAAUAAGAAUGAUUAGGGGGAAAUAGAGACAGUUUAAUCAGUCCGUGACCAAAAUCAAACAGAGUAAACUGUGUCAUCAUGGAGAUCUGCCCAGGAAAUCCCCAAAAUACAGAAGGGUAUGGGCAAAAAACUCGAGGACUGUAUUUGUGACUAAUUGUGUAACAGGGUAUUUUAGUUCCUGUUCUGUGGAAAGUGUAAAGCAUUCCAACAAAGGGUUUUAAUGUAGAUUUUUUUUUGCACCCAUGCUUUGAUUGCUAAAUGUAAUAGUCAGAUCGUG
rnacentral:lncRNA from 1 species